rnacentral:rRNA from 1 species
GUCUACAGUCAUGCCACCCUCAACAAGCCCGAUCCCAUCUGAUCUCGGAAGCUAAGCAGGGUCGGGCCUGGUUAGUACUUGGAUAGGAGACCACUUAGGAAGACCAGGUGUUAUAGGCA